CAUUGUGGCGGUUUUCCUUCUGGCCCAUUUGUUAAGUUUUCAAAUGGGCCUGACCCUGCCACAUAGAUUACAUAGGAACUGGCAAAGGCUUGAUGAGAAAGAGAUCUCUCUCUAGCUUUUCUCGCCUCAGAGAUUGGCUCCCACAUGC